UACAGAGGCCUCGAGCGUUAGGCGGAAUCACUGGGCUUAAAGCGUGUGUAGGCGGAUGCCUAAGUACCUUGUGAAAUCCCACGGCUCACCCGUGGAACGGCUGGGUAUACUGGGUGUCUUGAGCCACUUAGGGGCUGCCGGAACAAAUGGUGGAGCGGUGAAAUGCGUAGAUAUCGCUUGGAACGCCGAAGGUGAAAACAGGUUGCUGGGGUUGUGCCGACGCUGAGACACGAAAGCCAGGGGAGCGAACGGG
rnacentral:rRNA from 1 species